GGAUAUGGCGGAAUUGGUAAACGCACUAGACUUAGAAUCUAGCGAACAAGGUACUGAAAAUGCCUUUUUUUCAAAUGCGCAGGUUCGAUUCCUGCCGAGACCACCA
rnacentral:tRNA from 1 species